rnacentral:misc_RNA from 1 species
CAAGUUUUUUUUUUCUUUUUUUUUGUUAAUUUUUGUUAAUACUGAUGGAUGCAGAAAUUUGUUCAUUCCCACUCAAAAACUGAUAUGAAGAAGCAAAUAGAAGUAGGAUAAGAUUUGGACAAAAUAUUGUUGUCAUCACGUAGAAGAUUAGAUUUGAUUGACUUAAUGUGGAUAAAAUCCCAAGGAUUUGAGGGAUUUUGUUACCUAAUCACACCAUUAAAAUUUCAUUAGAGGUUCAUUAGUGAUAACUGAUGUAUCUAAAUAAAGGAUACGUUGUACGGGUGUUACCGUGUGAAUAUGAAAGGUCAAGCAUUUUUAGAUUUGUAUUAUUUUCAAAUGGUUUUGAGGGAUUCACAAGUAUAGCCAUUUGAUGACUGGCGAUCUCUUGGUGAGCGUUUCUUGAUUAUGAAAGUGUCAGACUGGGUUAUCUUUUCAAUGGGACUCCAAGAAUGGAGAGCCAAAGGGAUCCUUCCUUUGGUACUCCAAUGAGAAAGGAUAAGGGGUAGAGUUAGGG